GAUGAACGCUGGCGGCGUGCCUAAUACAUGCAAGUCGAGCGAACAGACGAGGAGCUGCUCCUCUGACGUUAGCGGCGGACGGGUGAGUAACACGUGGAUAACCUACCUAUAAGACUGGGAUAACUUCGGGAAACCGGAGCUAAUACCGGAUAAUAUAUUGAACCGCAUGGUUCAAUAGUGAAAGACGGUUUUGCUGUCACUUAUAGAUGGAUCCGCGCCGCAUUAGCUAGUUGGUAAGGUAACGGCUUACCAAGGCAACGAUGCGUAGCCGACCUGAGAGGGUGAUCGGCCACACUGGAACUGAGACACGGUCCAGACUCCUACGGGAGGCAGCAGUAGGGAAUCUUCCGCAAUGGGCGAAAGCUUGACGGAGCAACGCCGCGUGAGUGAUGAAGGUCUUCGGAUCGUAAAACUCUGUUAUUAGGGAAGAACAAAUGUGUAAGUAACUAUGCACGUCUUGACGGUACCUAAUCAGAAAGCCACGGCUAACUACGUG
rnacentral:rRNA from 1 species